rnacentral:tRNA from 2 species
UUUGGGUUAGUUCAGUGGUAGAACGCUGCGCUCUGAACGCAGAUGUCCGAGGUUCGAAUCCUUGACCCAAAACCA